CUCGUCUUAAUCAAGGAAUCCUGACUUAACCUUAUUCUUUCUCACAGACACAGUUCAAUGCUGCAAUGGAGCCUGUGGUGAGCACUGAUUCAAUAGGUGGUUUGCCUCCUUAGACGCAGAAUCACAGGACUAGAAGGAGUGAAAACAACACUUUAUCUCUACAUUGGCUUCAGGGAGGACAGUGCCCAAACCACCUCAAGUACAGAAUAAUUUACUCUCAUUUAGAAGAUCUCCAGACAGAGCUCGAAUGGCUCCCUUGGCAACAAAUUUUAGUUUUAACAAUCUUUGUAGCUUUAUCCUUCCCUCCAGAUAAUGCCAUAACUGUGUACUCUAGAUUAAACGUUUUCUCCUUUUCUGCCCACAGUGCUUUUGAAGCCAAACAUGAUUUCACAUAUAGUGUUGGGUCAUCAUUAAGUCACCUUUCAGAAGUCCCUCUAAAUUAAGGAGUCCUCAUCCUUUCCUUAAAUUUUUCAUGUGUCCUGACCUAUGAGAAUCUGUUAUACGCAUGUUUAAUUUCUAUGGAAUACCUCAUCAUACAACUUGAAAUUCUGAUUGACUAGUGGUUUUUUUCCUGCAUAAGUGCUACUUCAUCUAUGCCUCAGUAACAAACAACAACAAUCACUUAAUGGAAAUGGUGGCAGGCAGAAUUCUAAGAUAGCUGCCAGAUUCCUGCCGCCCCUGGUGUGCAUUCCUUGAUAAUCACUCUCCUUUGAGUGCAGGCAGACCUGUGUGUAUGAUACCACUGCUAUGAUUACAUUGCUCAUCAGGCGACUGUGAGCUAGCCAAAAUGGAGAAUAUUCUGGUGGGUCUGACCUAGCCAGGUGAGCCCGUUUCUGAGUCAUAGAGAUUGAAAGUGUGAGAGGGAUUUGAUGUGAGGGGGAAUUCUCUGUUGCUGGUUUUGAGUAUAAAAGGGGCCAUAUAAUAAAGACUUGAGAGUGGUCACUAGUUGCUGAGAUCCAUCCCUAAUUGAAGCUAGCAAGAAACACUUCUACCAACAACUUGAAGGAAUUUGGAAAAGAAUCCUUCCCUAGUCAAGUCUCUAGAGGGGAAUGCAGCUAACUGACACCUUGAUUUCAGCCUCGUGAGACCCUGAACAGAGAUAUCAACCACUCAGUUGCCUGGACCUCUGACAGAAAUGAAAGAUAAUAAAUGUCUGUUGUUUUAAGCCACUAAGUUUAUGGAAAUUUGUUACACAGCAAUGGAAAACCAAUAUAGGCCCCUAUCCAUGAGUUACAUUGUAGUAAACACCUUUCCUACAUUAUAGAUAUCUCAUCUAACUCCUACAGCAACCCUUGAGGUAAUCACUGUGUCCAUUGUCAGAGCAAGAAAACUGAAGCUCGGCUUCAUAAACAGAAGCAGCAAGGAUUGAUUCCUUAAAUACUGUGAAUUCCACUCUCACUUUAUUUGAAUUUGUGACAGUGAAAUUCACAGUAUUCUUUAAACAUUUUACCCCCAAGCGAUGCUCUUUCCUCUGAAUUGCUUUGCCUGUCCUAAUAAUUUUAUUUAUACAGGCUGAUGCUGGUGACUUGGGAAUAGUAUUUUUAUCCAAACCAUUUGGCUUCUUAUAGGUAUGAGCCACUGAGGGAGCUAUUUUUUAUUUAAUUGUGCUUUGGAAAAAUCAAACGUAGCCUUGAGUUUUAAAAUUAUUAAGCUUACACUUUUUCACAAAAUAGAAAUGGAGUAAUAUAGCUCUGUCCUUCCGUUUUUUAAAGCCAAAAAAUGUAAGAAUGGAAUGUACUGGCUCACUGCUCCCACGGUGUCCUUACCAGCACAACUUACCCCAUCCCUCCCUAGCCCACUCUUGAGGAUACUUUCUUGCCACUGUCAGGCUUACUCCUGCCUCCUAGACUGAGGAAAGAAAAGCCUCCUGGUUUGGAGCUCAUAAUCAAGUCAGCCUUGCUGCAGGGCUCAUUUUAAGCCAGUAUCCUGGACCAGAUAAGGAAGCUGAAGCUUUGAGAAUUUAAUUUGCUCAAGGGGAGGCCAGGACAAGAAAUAAUGAAGAGUCCGAUGUGGCAGGAAUGUAGGAAACAAGUCAAUGAUGGAAGAUAAAUAUGGAGACGUGAUGAAGGCAAAAUUCUGAAGGGUCUUAGAGCCCAUUAUAAGACGUUUGGUUUUUAUGGUUAGUGAGAAGGAAAACCAUUGGGGGUGGUUGGGCAGAAGAGUAAUAUGACUUGACUUAUAUUAAAAAAAUAAUUUGGUGGCUAGGUUGAGAAUAUAUGUAAGCAGGAGUGGGGUUGGGGGUGAGUGGCUGGGGCUGUUUAUAUCAAGGGUGGAUCCAGGCAGACCAGGCAGGAAGGCAUUGCAAUAAUCCAAGCAAAGGGAGAGGGUGUCUUGGUCACUAAACUGAUGCCAGAUAUGAAUUAGCUAUACUAGAAGAUAGUGAGAGAUGGUACAUAAAAUCAUACACAUUUAUUGCAACUGUAUGUAUUCCUUAAUUACAAUUUACUACAUAUAGACUAAUCUAGAUGAGCGCUUUCUAGGUACUCUUUAGUAAAUUCAUAGUCAACUCAUAAUAAUGAAUAUGGUGGUCAUUUUUUACAAAGCAACUUCCUGUGCAUUACUUUGAAAACAAUCCAAUAAGGUAUAUGUGGCAAAUACUACUCCUGCAAUUUAACAUGAAAAAAACAGACUUGGUGAACUUAGAGCUUGGCUUACCAGUAUAAUAUCAACUAUACGUCCUUUCUCCACUGAACUCAACUUCCUAACUAAGCUUGUGCCAAGGGGCAUUUCAAGAUAAAAAUGAAAAAAGAGGCUACAUCUUCCAGGAUAAAGACUUUGGUCUGAAAGUAACAUGUGCAUUAAAAGUUCAACUUUGAUAAAAGUUACAAAUCACUAUACAGAAGACCUAUUAAAUGAAAUAGACCCCAAAUAAACACAACAAAGGCUUUUCUUUUGUAAGAUGAUUUUAAGUUAAAAUACUGAAGAACCUUUUGAGAAAGUGCUCAGAACAUUUCCUCUGCUCACUGCAGCUGCAAGAAUCAGCACAAACAUCCACAUCCUAUUAGCUUUGAUUUCCAACUCAUGGAAACCCAACCUGUCGGUUUUUCUCUUUUUUCCCAAUACAUAGUGACAUUAACUCAGCCUUUUCUUCAGAAGUCUUCUUUUCUUGGCUGUUAAAUAGAUUAUCACCUCUCUCAUGACAAGGCCAAGAAUCAGGUGAGGCACUCAUCUUGAGCACAAAAUUUAAGGGGGAAAAACUCAAUGAUCAAGACAAUAUUUUAAUGUGAUUUUUAAAAAACCAAAAUCCAUAGAAGAAUAUCACAGGCUAGGCGUGCUUGCUCCUGCCUGUAAUCCCAGCACUUUGGGAGGCUGAGGUGGGCGGAUCACUUUAGGUCAGGAGUUCAAGACCAGCCUGGCCAACACGGCAAAACCCCCAUAUUUAAUAAAUAUACAAAAAUUAGCUGGGUGUGGUGGCAUGCACCUGUAAUCCCAGCUACUCGGGAGGCUGAGGCAGUAGAAUGGCUUGAACCUGAGAGGCGGAGCUUGCAGUGAGCUGAAAUCAGGUCACUGCACUCCAGCCUGGGCAACAGAGUGAAAGUGUGUCAAGAAAGAAAGAAAGAAAGAAGGAAGGAAGGAAGGAAAGAAAGAAAGGGAAAGAGAAAGAAAGAAGAAAGAAAGAGAAAGAAAAAGGAAGAAAGAAGAAAGAAAGAGAAAGAAAAAGAAAGAAAGAGAAAGAAAAAAGAAAGAAGGAAAGAAAGAGAGAGAGGGAGGGAAGGAGGGAAGGAGGGAGGGAGGAAGGAAGGGAGGAAGGGAGGGAGGGCGGAAGGAAGGAAGGGAGGAAGGAGUCACAAUUUUAAAGACAGUGUCAGUGUUACUGAAUAACCUUUUGCCUCAAGUUCCAAUAGGGCUGAGUACAACACUGGAAAGUGAUAUUUCCUUCUGAUGUUUUAUGUUUCAAUAUUCUUUCUGCAUGUAUAUUCAGUAGACGCUAUAGGUAGUUUAUCUCAGGUGAGGCUGAAAUAUAAAGAGAAUAAGAAUGGAGAUAGGGCAAAUCUUGUGUCUUACAGAAUAUAUUGGCCACUCCAUGUUUUUCCUUUAAUAUGUUACAAUUCUCUAAAGCAUCACAAAAUGAAACCUGUCAUCAUCUUAAUCUCUGUUACACAGAGCAAACACCAAGCAGGCAUGACCACGCCCUCCCUACACUGGUAGUUGAGAUGCUGCAAUGCAGCAUAUUAAAAAAUAGUGCUGACUUGUAUGGCACCACUUUGCUUAUGCUCUGAAUGCUGGAAGUAAAUGCUGACUAUCUGGAGAUAAUAAUAAUAUGACUUUUGAAUAAGCAAGGCACAAACAGCAAUUAUACAGUUAACACAAGCUAUGACUGUCAAGCAAUUGUUAUGCUUAGCACAAUUGCUUGAACCAUUAAUUAGAGUACAGCAUUUCCUCUUGAGAUAAUGCUGAUUAAAAUGUACAUACACUCUUCUGGAAGAUAACUUCAGGGUUGACGUGAAAACAGCAAAGACAGAUUUCAAAUAAAUACCUUUGCAACAAAGGUAUUUUGUACAGAGGGGAAUGCUUGUCUCCCUGCCCUGUUGAGAGCUGAUUAUCACAGGGUCAUUUUGUGGUUGGCUGGGCAAGUUUUCCAGAAAGAUAAAAGAGAUGAAGAAUGAGGAUAGGAGUCAACUAAAUUCUUAGCAGCUAACAAACAAUUUUCUUUGGAGUUGACUUUCUCUUUAAUCUUUUGUAAUUGCAGAUACAUAAUUCAAUGUGCUUUUAUAAAAUAUACAUGCCAUUUUCCCUGUAAACAGGUAUGAGAGCUGACCUCAGCAAUUAGCAAAAUCCUCAUACACACUGAUUUAACCGACCCAGUGUGCAUCCAGAAACCACUGCAGCAUGAGUUUGCGGGGACUUUGGGGUCUUUAAAUACUCAUUAAACAUUACAACUAGCUAGGACUCUUUUGGGGGACCAAUGGAGGCGCUUUGCUGAGCUGCUCCCUGAUGUUGUAAAAUGCAAAAAGUGAGUAAGCAGUCACAGUGCACCCUGCUUCCUUAUAGUAUAGGGCCUCGCCCUUCAAACUGUCAUCUGAGGACCAGCAGUAUCAACAUCCCCACAGAGCUUGUUAGAACUGCAGACUUGCAGGCCCUACUCUAGAUCUAUUGCAUCACAAUUUGCAUUUUAACUAGAUCUCCAUGUAAUUAUUAUGCACAUUAUAGUUCAAGAAGUACUGGCCUAAGAACAUUUUGCUCACAAAUCUGGGCUUAGAAAGCCAUCCUUGUGACUGGAGGAAAAUAUCGAAAGAGUGACAUGAUCUGAAACUGGAAACAAAUGCAAAGCAGGUGUGAGCCAUUAGAAAUGCAGCAGCCCUUCAGCUCGGCAAGGAGAUUACAAGGCUGUAUAGUUAAUGGGUAGGUAACUUAGUAAAUAGGAGACUUUGUUGUAGAUAAAAUCAUUGUUAGGUAUUUGGAAAUUAUGAGGAAUAAUAUAUAUAAUGCCCUAGGGGUGAGUAGGGGUGAUUGCUGGAAGUCUCUUACAGACUGAGCAGGUAAGAAGAAGAAAGGAGAAGAAACCUUCUUCUGGUUUUUGUGUUUGUGGCUGCAGACUAUGCCGUGCAAGACUUGGUAAACUGGUCCCUACCGCAGAGGAUUUUAUACAGAGCACGCUAGUGGCUCACAGGUAGUGUCUUAUUGAAUGUUGAAUUUCCACACUUUUGACUGCAUGAAUCAGUAAAUACUUGGGUUUAUUUUGCCACAUAGAGGUCUACAUUGGUUUGAUACAAGUAAAUAGCAAUAAUGAUAAGAGUCACUGCCAUUAAUGGAGUGUCUCCUUGAUACCAGACACUGUCUCAGAUAACUUGAAUUAACUCUUUAAACCCACAUGGCCCUGGUCCUGAAAGGUGGUAUUAUUCAUUUUUAUAGAUGAGGAAACUGAGACACAGGCAACACUACUUCAACAUUGGCCCCAAACCAUUUUUAUUUGCCCUGAGUAAUUUGCUAGUUCUCCUCUUUCAGUAUGCCAGUCUUCUCUAUCCAUUGGUCUAUAGUUGGUUGCAAUUCGUCUUUGUCACCUGUUCCUGACACUGACCAAUUACUGACCAUAUCUCCCUAUUCUCUGCCAUGUGAUAACCUUUGGUUCUCCCAAAUAAACUCUUUCCUUAUCUCUACUCUAUUGAAACCAACCACCCCUCUCUCCACACAGAAUAUUUCACUGAUUGCCUUGCCCGCUUCUCAAAGGCCCACUUCUCUGUGGAAUGAUGCAGUUGCUAAGAAGAGCUGUUAAUGUCAUGACCUCAAUGAAUAAAAAAGACUUCCUUUUCUCCAUGCCCACUCAAGUAAAAGGCUUCUCUCUGAACUCCUGCUAAUUUUUCAUCAGCAAAGGUGCACAGCCUUUUGGAAGUGAAAUGAUUACUAGUGAAGAAAAAGAAAGAACCUAACACUUAUUUUACAAGCCUCCCAGUGACCACUCUUCAGACAAAACUUCUUAUAAUAGCUUCCUUCCCUGAAUCUUUUGCGAAACAUCAAAUCACAAAGAGAUCUUAUUUCUGGCAAGGAAGACUCAUAUAUGACUCCUGGUACAUGGGUACAAGGAUUCUAUAGGCUAUAUACCUAAUCGUGGAAUUGUUGAGUCUCAGAGUAUUCAAAUGUUCAACUUGACACAUUAUCAUGAAACUGUUCUCCAGAGUGGCUUUCCAAUUUACUCUUCCACCAAAAAUGUGUUCCUAUUGAUCUACAUCUUCUCUAGAACAUCUUAUUUUAGGUAAUUUAAUUUUUUCAUUGUUAUGAAAUGGUAUCUCACUGUCUUAUGCAUUUCUCUGGUUAAUAAUGAGAUUGGUCAUAAAUUCAUAUGUUCAUUGUGAAAUGUCUAUUCUUUUGUUGCCCAUUUCAUCUAUUGGGAUGGCUAUCUUCUAACCGAUUUUACAUAGUUCUAGUGGUUGUUUAUGCAUUCUGGAAACCGGUUCUUUAUUAAUCAUAGGUGUGGCAUUAUGGUUCACAUUGUUACUCUCUUGCUAUACUGUGAUGAACAGAAGUUUUUCAUUUUCAUGAAGUAGACUUAUCAACAUUUUCUUAUGUUUUAGAUGUUUAUUUAGAAACCCUUCUCUACAAACAUUCUAAUAUUUUCUUUUAAAAGUUUUGAAGUUUUGACUUUUACAUUUAAAUUAUUAAUCAAAUUAGAAUUAUCUUCCAUAUACAUGUGAGUCCUCAAUUCUUGCUCCAUUAAACAAUUUAUCCUUCCUCGCAUCAGUAUCUUCCCACCUUAAUUGCUAUUGGAUUAUAAUAACUCUUGAUAUUUGGUGUGCCAAAUUCCCCCAACAUAUUAAUCCUUUCGGAUAUUCUAUUCUCAGCCCUUUAUUUUUCCAUAUGAAACUCAGAAUCAUGAAGUUUAUUUAAAAUUCUGCUAGGAUUUUGAUAAAAAUUUCCAUAAAAAACUUUUCAGUUUGACAUUGUUAGGACUGAGUUUUCUUAUCCAUGAAUGUGAAAUAUCUGUGUUAUUUUAUCUGCAAAAUAAAGAUAAAGAAAUAUCUUUAUUAUUGUUUAAUGUUUUUAUGAAAAGUUCAUGAUUUUUUAUCUAGAGGUAUCACACAUCUUUUUUUAGAUAUAUUCUAGGAUACUUUUUAGUUUUGUUGCUUUUGUAAGUGUUGUCAUGUUGGGAGUCUCUGAGAACCUCCUCAAGCUUGAUGACCCACUAGAAGGACUCUCAGGACUUAGAAGUGGUUAUAUUGAUGGUCACAGUUUAUUAUAACAAAAAGACACAGAUAACAAUAAACAAAGAGAAAAGGCACAUGGGGUGAAGUUCAGGAGAAAUAAGGCACAAGCCUUCAGGUAUUCCCCUCCCAGGAGUAAAUAUGCUAACUGAAGCACACAAAAAAAGAAAAGAUAAAUGCAAAAAAGAGCAUAAAAUAUAUAUGACAUAGUUUUAAAAAUGUGUAACAUGCAUGUAAUUGAAGUAUCAGAAAGAAUGGAGACAAGGAAUAGGGGAAGAAGGAAUAUUUGAAGAGAUAAUAACCAAAAACUUUCUAAAACUAACCCACAAAAUCAAGAAAUUCUGAAGAAACUAGAAAAGAUACAUGCAAAAUAAAUCCCAUUUUGGCUCAUAGUGAACUCCUGAAAGCCAAGGACAAGGACCAAUUACUUAAAGCACCCAAAAAAAAACAACAUUGCUUUCAUAAUAGCAAUAAAAGACUAAUAACUGAAUUUUCUACACAAAUGAUGGAAGCUGGAAGAUAUAAAGAUCAUAAGGAUAUAUUCUAUUCCUGGAAUUGAUGUGCCUUGGUCAUAAUGUCUUUUUUAAAAUACAAAGUUGUAAUCAGGUUUCUAAAUAGUUUAAGAUUUUUGCAUCUAAUUGUUUGGAAAGUUCCCCCUUUUUUAUACUCAUAUCUGCAUUAGCUAUCAAGGCUAAAAAUGACUGCUUUAAAAGAGUUAAGGAAAGUUUCCUCUUUGUUAUACCUAUGAAAAAGUUUAUAUACAAUUAAAAUUUGAUGAUAACAUUUGUUAUAUUUUCUUAUAGAACUAUUUGUAUUUGGUGUUCUAUUUAUGAGGAGGCUUUUAAAAUAUUGAUUUGACUUCUUUAGUAGUUGUAGGGCACUGAAGUUUUCUGGUACUCUAACUGCAGCCCACGUAACUUAUCUUAUAUUCUCAUUAUCAUUUAGUUCUAAGUAUUUUUUUACUUUCUAUUAUAAAGUAUUCUUUGACCUAGGAGGUAUUUAGAAGUUUGCUUUUAAACUGUCAAAUGUAUGAAAUUGUCUUAAUUUUCCUUUUAUUACUAAUAGCUACAUUAUUUUCCUUCUUGUGAGAGAAGGUAGUCUGUGGUACUUUUGGAAAUAUUUAAAGACUUUUUGGCCUAGUAUGUGAUAAAUUUGUGAAAAUGUUCCUUGCAUGUCAAAAAGAAUUAUCCAGAAUUAUCCAAUAAUUGGAUAAAUGUUCUUAAUAUGUUUAUUAGGACAUUCAUGUUCAUUGUGUUUACAAUUUCUAUAACAUUGCUAGUUUUGAUCUGCUUUUCAUGUCAAUACCUGAGAUAGGUCUGUUUAAAUUUCUUACUAUAAUGGUAGAUUUGUUACAAUUUCAUUGUAGCCUGUACAUUUUUGCUUUAUAUAUGCUGAAUAAAUGUUAAUAUGUGCCCAUAUAAGCUUAAACAUUAUAAUUACUUUAUCUUCCUGGAAAAUUGUAAUUUUCAUCAAUAUGUGCUCACCCCCUUUUUAUCUGGUAACUAUUUUGACCUU
rnacentral:lncRNA from 1 species